GCCAGGCAUGGUGGUGCAUGCCUAUAAUCCCAGCUACUCAGGAGGCUGAGGCAGGAGAAUCGCUUGAACCCAGGAGGCUGAGGGUGCAGUGAGCCAAGAUCUCACCACUGUACUCCAGCCUGGGCGACAGAGCGAGACUCUGUCUUA
rnacentral:sRNA from 1 species